rnacentral:rRNA from 1 species
CACGAUAAGGGCUGGGCAAGACCGGUGCCAGCCGCCGCGGUAAUACAGCAGCCCGAGUGAUGCCCGAUCUUAUUGGGCCUAAAGCGUCCGUAGCUGGCCUCGCAAGUCCGUCGGGAAAUCCACUCGCUCAACGAGUGGGCGUCCGGCGGAAACUGCGCGGCUUGGGACCGGAAGACUUGAGGGGUACGUCCGGGGUAGGAGUGAAAUCCCGUAAUCCUGGACGGACCACCGAUGGCGAAAGCACCUCGAGAAAACGGAUCCGACAGUGAGGGACGAAAGCUAGGGUCUCGAACCGGAUUAGAUACCCGGGUAGUCCUAGCCGUAAACAAUGCUCGCUAGGUGUGGCACAGACUACCAGCGCCGCGUGCCGUAGGAAGCCGAGAAGCGAGCCGCUAGAAG